UACGGAGGUUCCUAGCGUUGUUCGGAAUUACUGGGCGUAAAGGGAGCGCAGGCGGACCGUUAAGUCUAAAGUGGAAUCCCGGGGCUCAACCUCGGACGUGCUUUGGAUACUGGCGGUCUUGAGUUCGAGAGAGGAAAGCGGAAUUCAGGGUGUAGCGGUGAAAUGCUUAGAUAUCCUGAGGAACACCAGUGGCGAAAGCGGCUUUCUGGCUCGAAACUGACGCUGAGGCUCGAAAGCGUGGGGAGCGAACGGG
rnacentral:rRNA from 1 species